rnacentral:rRNA from 1 species
UACGGAGGACCCAAGCGUUAUCCGGAUUUAUUGGGUUUAAAGGGUGCGUAGGCGGAUUAUUAAGUCAGUGGUGAAAGCCUGCAGCUUAACUGCAGAACUGCCAUUGAUACUGAUGAUCUUGAGUAUGAUUGAGGUGGGCGGAAUGUGUCAUGUAGCGGUGAAAUGCUUAGAUAUGACACAGAACACCGAUUGCGAAGGCAGCUCACUAAGCCAUAACUGACGCUGAUGCACGAAAGCGUGGGGAGCAAACAGG